AAAAAGAGUACUCGGCGUAAAUGCCAUGCGCCACGCUGAGCGUGAUGAGUGGAAUCGACAUCAAGAUAUUCUGUGGGCAUAAUUUUUGAAAAUGGGGUAGUCUGUCGAACGACGACGAACAA